GUUUUGUCAGUCCGCACUAUCGUCGCAAGUGAAUCGCUCGGGUUAGUAAUUUCGGCGUAGGGACAACUGAGUCCAAUGUUAGGUUUAUGUUUUAGAAGGCUGUAUUUCUGGACCAGUCUGGUCCGAAAUCAACUACAUGUUAUGAGUUACAUUUAAUCUUUGAAAUGGGAUGUUGA